rnacentral:tRNA from 16 species
GCGGGAAUAGCUCAGUGGUAGAGCAUCGCCUUGCCAAGGCGAGGGUCGGGGGUUCAAAUCCCCUUUCCCGCUCCA